UGUGUCUGUACUCGCUGCCUGCCUCGCUUCACCCAGGCGGAGAGCGGCAGGAAGGCUGGCUGGACUUUCAGGUUUGCUGCGUAGCGAGUGGCAGCCUGCUCUCUCCGGCAGGGCCUCUGCCAGCCAGGCGGCUUCAGGGCCCGGAGCCCCGGGAGCCGGUCUGCGGUGGGCUGCAGGGCCGGUGGGGGGGCUCUCCGUUCCCACCCUCCCCUCCAGGAGCCCUCCGCGCUGACCCAGGAAGAUGCCCCCGAUGCCAGAAAGUUGCCGAGUCAGGACCUGCCCUCUUCCGUCUCCUUCAGCCUCCUCGGUGACGGCCAGCUGCUAACCAGCCAUGAAACCUGGCCGCUUCUCCUGCCUCCUGGGAUGCUUUCUGGUGGCCGCAGCCAGCCUGGCUAACAACGUGGUGCCCAGAAUGACCUUUCACAGAGGGGACCCCAGCCGCGAGGUUGGCACCUUCAGCCAGGAGGGGAUCCUCAACUACGACACAUUCCUGCUGAGUGCCGACGGUGAGACUCUCUACGUGGGAGGGAGGGACGCCAUCCUUGCCCUCAAUAUCAGCAGCGCCCCCAUCAGGCUGAAGGGGGAGGUGAUCCCCAGGAG